rnacentral:misc_RNA from 1 species
AACCAUUCUCACCUGCGGCUAGACCUGCGGAAGGAUCAUUAUCGAGGGGCUCACGCCCCGUCGAGAUAGGACCCUUGCCUUUUUUCGAGCACCCAUUUUUCCUCGGCAGGCUCGCCUGCCAAUGGGGACCUUUAAAAACCUUUGUAAAAACCCGUCCUAUUGUCUGAAUUAAAAACAAAUAAUCAAAACUUUUAACAAUGGAUCU